AGCAGCCGCGGUAAUUCCAGCUCCAAUAGCGUAUAUUAAAGUUGUUGCAGUUAAAAAGCUCGUAGUUGAAUUUCGGGGUCAGUAGAUUGGUCGUGCCACUGGUAUGUACUGGUCUUACUGGCUCCUCCUUCCUGAUGAACCGUAAUGCCAUUAAUUUGGUGUUGCGGGGAGACUGGACUGUUACUUUGAGAAAAUUAGAGUGUUUAAAGCAGGCUAACGCUUGAAUACAUUAGCAUGGAAUAAUGAAAUAGGACGUUCGAUCUUAUUUUGUUGGUUUUCUAGGAUUGACGUAAUGAUUAAUAGGGAUAGUUGGGGGCAUUAGUAUUCAAUUGUCAGAGGUGAAAUUCUUGGAUUUAUUGAAGACUAACUACUGCGAAAGCAUUUGCCAAGGAUGUUUU
rnacentral:rRNA from 1 species